GACGAACGCUGGCGGCGUGCUUAACACAUGCAAGUCGAGCGGAAAGGCCCUUCGGGGUACUCGAGCGGCGAACGGGUGAGUAACACGUGAGCAACCUGCCCUGGACUUUGGGAUAACCCUCGGAAACGGGGGCUAAUACCGGAUAUUACCUUUGCCCGCAUGGGUGUUGGUGGAAAGUUUUUCGGUCUGGGAUGGGCUCGCGGACUAUCAGCUUGUUGGUGGGGUGAUGGCCUACCAAGGCGACGACGGUUAGCCGGCCUGAGAGGGCGACCGGCCACACUGGGACUGAGACACGGCCCAGACUCCUACGGGAGGCAGCAGUGGGGAAUAUUGCACAAUGGGCGGAAGCCUGAUGCAGCGACGCCGCGUGAGGGAUGAAGGCCUUCGGUUGU
rnacentral:rRNA from 1 species